UACGAAGGGGGCUAGCGUUGUUCGGAAUUACUGGGCGUAAAGCGCACGUAGGCGGAUUGUUAAGUCAGGGGUGAAAUCCUGGAGCUCAACUCCAGAACCGCCUUUGAUACUGAAGAUCUUGAGUUCGGGAGAGGUGAGUGGAACUCCUAGUGUAGAGGUGGAAUUCGUAGAUAUUAGGAAGAACACCAGUGGCGAAGGGCGGCUCACUGGUCCGGUACUGACGCUGAGGUGCGAAAGCGUGGGGAGCAAACAGGG
rnacentral:rRNA from 1 species